rnacentral:rRNA from 1 species
UAGUCCACGCCGUAAACGAUGAUCACUCGAUGUGUGCAAUACACAGUAGGCGGCUAAGCGAAAGCAUUAAGUGAACCACCUGGGGAGUACGAUCGCAAGGUUGAAACUCAAAGGAAUUGACGGGGGCCCGCACAAGCGGAGGAACAUGUGGUUUAAUUCGAUGAUACGCGAGGAACCUUACCUGGGCUUAAAUGUAGAUUGCAUAAUUUAGAAAUAGAUUUUCCCUUCGGGGCUAUUUACAAGGUGCUGCAUGGUUGUCGUCAGCUCGUGCCGUGAGGUGUCGGGUUAAGUCCCAUAACGAGCGCAACCCCUAUUUCUAGUUACCAGCGAGUAAUGUCGGGAACUCUAGAAAGACUGCCUGUGUAAACAGUGAGGAAGGUGGGGAUGAUGUCAAAUCAUCACGGCCCUUAUGUCCUGGGCUACACACGUGCUACAAUGGUCACUACAGUGGGCUGCCAUCUGGUGACAGAGAGCAAAUCCAUAAAGGUGAUCCCAGUUCGGAUC